CGGGCCGUCGACGAACACAGGACGUCAGGCGCCGCCGUUGAUGGCGCCGGUCUUGAGACCGCCCUCGGUGAUGUUCCACUUCUUCAACAGCCCGUC
rnacentral:tRNA from 1 species